rnacentral:misc_RNA from 1 species
UCCGAGUUGACCCCGGCAGUCUCCCGCGAGUCCCCGCCAUUACGCGCUGGCAACACAGGAUAAGGGUUGCGCUCGUUGCGGGACUUAACCCAACAUCUCACGACACGAGCUGACGACAGCCAUGCACCACCUAUCGCCGACCCCGAAGGACACCAUAUUUCUAUGGCUUUUCCGGCGUAGUUCAACCCAGGUAAGGUUCUUCGCGUUGCAUCGAAUUAAGCCACAUGCUCCGCCGCUUGUGCGGGCCCCCGUCAAUUCCUUUGAGUUUCAGUCUUGCGACCGUACUCCCCAGGCGGCGGACUUAACGCGUUAGCUUCGAUACUGCGUGCCAAAUUGCACCCAACAUCCAGUUCGCAUCGUUUAGGGCGUGGACUGC